AACGCACAUUGCGCCCGCUGGUAUUCCGGCGGGCAUGCCUGUCCGAGCGUCAUUAUGACCAAUCAAGCUCUGCUUGGCCUUGGGGCCUGCUAUACCGGCGGUCCUUAAAAUCAGUGGCGGUGCCGUCUGGCUCUAAGCGUAGUAAUUCUCCUCGCUAUAGAGCUCCAGACGUCCACCCGCCAGAACCCCCAACUUUCUCAAGGUUGACCUCGGAUCAGGUAGGGAUACCCGCUGAACUUAA
rnacentral:misc_RNA from 4 species